UUCAGACCAAGUUUGCUCGUGGCUCAUGUCAGGCCAUUUUCACUCUGUUCAGAAGAUAGCAUUAAUGAGGGAUGAUGAUAUUUUUGUUGUACGUCUUAAGUAAUCUAGUGACAAUUAUCUACCUGUCACUUGGAGGAAUAACAUAGGGCAUAUUUCUUUCAGUACCCUCUGUAUUCUCUGUCCAGGGUGUAUGAGGACAAGUUUGGGAUGACUCCUAAGCUGAUACUACUACACAUCAGUGCGCAGUUGCCUGCACUCGUACCUGCUUGUACAAAUGUUAUAUUGAUUGGUUCAUUGUCUGGAAGAGGCAUAAUUGUGCAGAAGAGCAUGUCCACAUCACACUGUUUCCUCCUGCAAGACUGCACGUGAUUAUUCUCUCAUCCAAAGCCUCACUGGCUGGGGCAAGAUGGAGAGAGAAGCUAUAAGCUAAACAUCAUCGUAAAGGCAAGAUAUUGUCUGGAUAUUCGAAACAUUAAGGUUUGGUAUGUUGCUCGUGAAGGAAGAGGAUGUUUAUAAGUAACUGACAUUGAUAUCUAUGAAUAAUUUUGAUAAUAAAGAAGUGGUGUGAUUACUUCUUUCUUUUUUCUCUUUGAGAUUUGUAUGAUCAAUUCGACACUUACAAUGAUGUAAGGAAAUGAAUAACCAGAUUAAAAAAAAAA